CCUACGGGAGGCAGCAGUAGGGAAUUUUCCACAAUGGGCGAAAGCCUGAUGGAGCAAUACCGCGUGCAGGAUGAAGGCCUUCGGGUCGUAAACUGCUUUUAUGUGCGAAGAAUUUGACGGUAACACAUGAAUAAGGAUCGGCUAACUACGUGCCAGCAGCCGCGGUCAUACGUAGGAUCCAAGCGUUAUCCGGAAUUACUGGGCGUAAAGAGUUGCGUAGGUGGCAUUAUAAGUGGAGCGUGAAAGCGUGCGGCUCAACCGCAUUAUUGCGUUCCAAACUGUGAAGCUUGAGUAUGGGAGAGGUAGAUGGAAUUUCUAGUGUAGGAGUGAAAUCCGUAGAUAUUAGAAGGAACACCGAUGGCGUAGGCAGUCUACUGGCCCAUUACUGACACUAAGGCACGAAAGCGUGGGGAGCAAACGGGAUUAGAUACCCCGGUAGUCCACGCUGUAAACUAUGGAUGCUAGCUGUGACACACAUCGACCUGUGUCGUAGCGAAGUUAACGCGUUAAGCAUCCCGCCUGGGGAGUACGGUGCAAGAAUUAAAACCGUCAAAUUGAAUUGACGGCUUGGNGNGNGCGACGACGACGACGAGGAGGAGG
rnacentral:rRNA from 1 species